rnacentral:rRNA from 1 species
CAAGAAUACCCGCUGAACUUAAGCAUAUCAAUAAGCGGAGGA